UACAGAGGUGCCAAGCGUUAGGCGGAAUCACUGGGCCUAAAGCGCGUGUAGGUGGGUCGUUAAGUGUCCGCGUGAAAUCCCACGGCUCAACCGUGGAACUGCCGGGCAUACUGGCGAUCUUGAGGCAUUCAGGGGCGAGCGGAACAAAUGGUGGAGCGGUGAAAUGCGUAGAUAUCAUUUGGAACGCCAAUGGUGAAAACAGCUCGCUGGGAAUGAUCUGACACUGAGACGCGAAAGCCAGGGGAGCGAACGGG
rnacentral:rRNA from 1 species